UACGUAGGGUGCGAGCGUUGUCCGGAAUUAUUGGGCGUAAAGAGCUCUUAGGCGGUUUGUCGCGUCGAAUGUGAAAACCCGGGGCUCAACCCCGGGCCUGCAUUCGAUACGGGCAGACUAGAGUUCGGUAGGGGAGUCUGGAAUUCCUGGUGUAGCGGUGAAAUGCGCAGAUAUCAGGAGGAACACCGGUGGCGAAGGCGGGACUCUGGGCCGAUACUGACGCUGAGGAGCGAAAGCGUGGGGAGCGAACAGG
rnacentral:rRNA from 1 species